AGAAAAAUUUGAAAUAGGUAAAGAGAACACAAUGUCAAACACGUCUUGAACACUCCCCCAAACUAAAAUAAACAGUCCCUUGUGUAAUAAAAAUCUGAACGAAAAUUCAAGACCAAAACAAACAACAAACAAAGAAAAUAAAACUGCUAUGGUAUGUACAAUGGUGGUGGUGGUGUUACCUCAGUGAUCAGGUGAAGUUGACGGAUACGAAAUCGUCCGUACUCUCUUGAGUAUAAGCAGGGACUGAUGUUGAGGCGGGAAGGUUUUGAGUAUUAGGGUUUCAGAAUAUUUCGCUAUAAGUAGCAUGUAUUUUACAUUUUCAAGGACAAGUUUUAUUUCCGCAAACAGUUUGAGUUCUUGACAUUUUGUAAUCCGGAUUUCUCUUAAUCUAUUCAGUAUUCGCUUUUUGUUUUUUUUACUAAGUGGUUCAUCUUGUUAUCAUCUUGCUAUUACUCUGUUGCUAUGAUGUUUUCAUUCAUGUCAUCGUUUAUGUUUUCUACAAUGAUGUCUGAGUAGUGACUAGGUUCUUGAGGAUGGGUUAGAGUAGUUUAGAAUCCUCAGUAUGCUAGGUGGUUGAGUUUGAUUUAUAGAUCUCUUCUAGAUUAGUUGUUCUUAAUGCCUAUUGCUUUCUGAUCAACUGGAAUUUGAGCCCAGACAUUUCCACGCCCAAAAGGUUUUUCGAUGAAAUGUCUGAACACCUAAUUCCAGAGAUUCGUGGUUUUGUACCAAGGUAUUGGUUACAAGGAGCAUUUUGGCUUUAACUUGUUGAUUCGUAAUGCAUGUUAGGUUAGCUCUCGUCAAUGGUGAUCGAGUCUGGGACUGCUUUAACUUGAGGGUCUCUGUUGCGGUGGCACUUAGAUUUGGUUAUCGAACUUGUUGUCUAGGGAUAACUUAUUGAGCAUGUCAAUCACAUGUAAAUUGAAGAAACAAAACUACUCAAUUACCCCAUCCUCGGGAAUUUCUCAUAUGAUUGAUUUCUUUGUUUACUCUGCUAUUGUUACUACAUCUUGCUGCCUGUUGUUUAGCA
rnacentral:sRNA from 1 species